rfam:Erinaceus europaeus unplaced genomic scaffold scaffold00897, whole genome shotgun sequence
AGCACCUGUGUUUGUUUACUUUCAUUAGUGGGCAAAAACUAUUAGGCGCAAGAAAUAAAUCCUCUUUUGAAACCUAGGGUUCAUUGUUGAGUAUGAGUUUUGAUUCAUAUAAGAAGAAACAUG